UACCAUAUUCCUGACGAUUUCUUCACUUCGUUUCUGCAAAAAUAAUUUCGAACGAAGAACAGCAGAAGAUUUGAAUCAGACGACAGAUUUUGUAAAUAAAAAGAUUCCAAUGAGGAAGCCUUAAAAAACCACCUCCUAAUAUAUAGGUCAAAAUCAAUCCUGAUGUGAAAGAACAUCAUAGGGAACAUCUUUGCAUUAACCAGGUUCAAUACAUUCUAACUGAUCCCGCAUUUUCUUUGGGAAUGCAUACAUUUGUGUUCCACACGAGUUAUGCUACAGCAGUUGUCAGGUUCAUGCUCUCAUCUUGUUUUCGAAAGAAAUGAAAAGAAAAGAACA